rnacentral:ncRNA from 2 species
AGUAUUUGCGCUGAUUUAGGUGUCUUCAAUGUAUAUAUCAUACCGAAUGAAUAUUACCCAUUGAAGGUGAAACGUGAAACUGGUGAGAACCCAGUACUGCCCCCGCAACGGUAACUGUGAGCAGCAACAAAAACCACUGUAUUUAGCAACGAUUCAUUACGUAAGAUUCGUGAAUAUGGGAAGGUGUUGCAAACGCGAUGAACAGGAGUCCGGAGACCGGCCUAAAUGAUACUCGACAA